UAGUAUCUGUCGUAUCUGUCUCCACACAUAGAGGCAGUGGAGGUAGUUUACAGUGUUUACAGUUGUCACCGCGUGGUUACCGCCAUUACCGCGUUUCCCCCUCGCCGAAGCGUUCCGGUUCCAGUCCACUGGUAGUAGUGUGCGUUUUAAGUUACCACUAAUGUAUUAUCGUAAAUAAGUGUCGAAGAUUGUAUGUUCUUUUCAAUAAGCUCUCACAUUGAAGCCUUUGAAACAUUUUCAUCGGCCAUACAGGAGGUUGAUGAAACUGCAAUUGUAACCAAGUGAGUGAAGUAGAUGCUCCAAGCCCAAUAACGGGAUGAGCCCGUAAAAUGUGCAUUUUGCCAGGUUAAACUUUCUGCAGUGCAAGAACCAAAACUUUUAGAGUGUCUGCACACAGCUUUUAGGUAUUGUGUGUCUCGUAAAGUAGGUUAACAAAAUGUGGAGAAUGUUCGUGAGGUCAACAUAUUAUUCUCCUGCAUUAAUAAUACAAUUUUUCUACAGUGCCAACUGUGGAUAGCAUGUCAUGAGUCCUUCCCUGUUUUGUGUAGCAUGUGACAUACUGAUAUGUCAGGAUUGUCUGUUUACUGACCAUCAUCACCAUAAGUACAAAUUUAUCCAUGAGAUAGCAGAGGAAACAAAGAAUAUGAUACGUGGGCUUUUAUCUGAAGUCAGGUUGACAGAUAUAAUCAUUACCAAAGGAAGACAGCGGGUUCUGCAGGCAACUGAACUUCAUUAUGACACACAGAAAGAACUUAAGAAUAAAAAAUAUUCUUGUGAGAAA